UCCUUCGAGAUCCCCAAAGUUUGAGUCUUUUUCUGGUUUAAUCCUUGAAAGGAGGAGAAAGAUGAAUCCUUUGAGCAAGAAGAUCUAUCUCUACAAUGUCACCAUGGGGCUUUUACAUGCUGGAUUGGUGGGAGCGCUAUCUUUUCAAUAUAUUGAUAUUGGUUUUGCUUUGGUUUAUCUGCUACAAUGGCUGCAGAUUUGUUACUCAGAUCUACAACAGCAAUUUUUCUGCAGAGUUCAUGGUUGGCAAAAAGUUCAGCACUGCCGGAUUUGUACCAACCUAAUCUAUUAAACGAUCAAGCAUUAGCGAUAGUAAAGAUGGCUGUCGAUGAGGUCAUAUCGGUUAUGCUUGUUUAACUUUACAGAAUUAAUGUACAGUA